UACGGGGGGGGCAAGCGUUGUUCGGAAUUACUGGGCGUAAAGGGCUCGUAGGUGGCCAACUAAGUCAGACGUGAAAUCCCUCAGCUUAACCGAGGAACUGCCUGUCAGACUGGAAGGCUUGAGACCGGGAGAGGUGAGUGGAAUUCCCAGUGUAGCGGUGAAAUGCGUAGAUAUUGGGAGGAACACCAGUGGCGAAGGCGGCUCACUGGACCGGAACUGACGCUGAGGCGCGAAAGCGUGGGGAGCAAACAGG
rnacentral:rRNA from 1 species